CUGGUGUGCUUCAUUCCACCUUUGUAUAAAUCUGGCAUUAUCCUGAAACUUCUGAGCGCCCAGCUACAAGUCUGAUACCGGAUGGUCUCUACAGCCGGAGGAGUCGAGCAACAGCAACCAAGCGAUGAUGAAGAUCUGCUGACAAAUUUCUUAGUGCUGACCGGAACUGCUCCGAGAACCAGAAACCACAGUACAUGAGGUAGCACAUCUAGAGCUCCAUCUGCCACCGUCUGAC